rnacentral:rRNA from 1 species
UACGUAGGCAGCGAGCGUUGUUCGGAGUUACUGGGCGUAAAGGGUGCGUAGGCGGUUGUUUAAGUUUGGUGUGAAAUCUCCCGGCUCAACUGGGAGGGUGCGCCGAAUACUGAAUGACUAGAGUGCGGGAGAGGAUAGUGGAAUUCCUGGUGUAGCGGUGAAAUGCGUAGAUAUCGAGAGGAACACCUGCGGCGAAGGCGGGUAGCUGGGCCGACACUGACGCUGAUGCGCGAAAGCCAGGGGAGCGAACGGG